rnacentral:rRNA from 1 species
UCYGGUUGAUCCUGCCRGACCCGACUGCUAUCAGAGUGAGAUUAAGCCAUGCGAGUCAACGUAGCAAUACGUGGCACACGGCUCAGUAACACGUAGUCAACAUAACCAAAGGACGUGGAUAAACUCGGGAAACUGAGGCUAAACCGCGAUAGAUCAAGAUACCUGGAAUGGUUUUUGAUCAAAAUCUAUAUGGCCUUUGGAUUGGACUGCGUCCGAUCAGGCUGUUGGUGAGGUAAUGGCCCACCAAACCUGUAACCGGUACGGGCCCUGAGAGGAGGAGCCCGGAGAUGGGUACUGAGAAAAGGACCCAGGCCCUAUGGGGCGCAGCAGGCGCGAAACCCCUGCAAUAGGCGAAAGCCUGACAGGGUUACUCUGAGUGACUUUCGCUAAGAAAGUCUUUUGACACCUCUAAAAAUGGUGUAGAAUAAGGGGUGGGCAAGUCUGGUGUCAGCCGCCGCGGUAAUACCAGCACCCCGAGUGGUCGGGACGAUUAUUGGGCCUAAAGCAUCCGUAGCCGGUUUUACAAGUCCUCCGUUAAAUCCAGCUGCUUAACAGAUGGGCUGCGGAGGAUACUAUAAGACUAGGAGGCAGGAGAGGCAAGCGGUACUCAGUGGGUAGGGGUAAAAUCCGUUGAUCCAUUGAAGACCACCAGUGGCGAAGGCGGCUUGCCAGAAUGCGCUCGACGGUGAGGGAUGAAAGCUGGGGGAGCAAACCGGAUUAGAUACCCGGGUAGUCCCAGCUGUAAACGAUGCAGACUCGGUGAUGGACUAGCUUUAUGCUAGUCCAGUGCCGCAGGGAAGCCGUUAAGUCUGCCGCCUGGGUAGUACGGUCGCAAGACUGAAACUUAAAGGAAUUGGCGGGGGAGCACCACAAGGGGUGAAGCCUGCGGUUCAAUUGGABUCAACGCCGGR